rnacentral:lncRNA from 1 species
AUACCAGUGAACUUCAGUGAUCUCUGGAAGCUAAAAUAUCUAAGAAAAUAACCUAGUGGAAUAGUGCUUUAUACUUAUGAAACAGUGGUUUUAAAUACUUAUUAAAUAUACUUUUACUUAUUAAAAACUACUACUUUAUGGCCUUGGGUUCCAAUUAUUUUAUCCUAUGGUCAUACUAAUAUGUUACUGAUGCUAAUUCUUAUUUAAGAUAGUUGACUACUUAUUAAAAAAUUUACGUAAUUCCAUAAUUAUAUAAUCAUUGACUUACUGGGGCCUGUUCUAUUAUUGGUAACUUCAUAUAGGGAACAUAUGAGUUAAUUAAUCGCCCAAGAUAACUUGGCCCAGAAUCCCAGGACUCCUAAUUUAGUCAACUUUGUUCAUGAUAAAAUCUAGUUUAUGUAAACAGAAAAUGCACCUAUGUUCUCUUUUAGGUCCCAUGGGUUCAAACAUCAAGGUGUAGAAGUUUUGAACAUUAGUUAAUCCUCUGGGGCACUCCUGAUAAGAUGGUGAUCAGGGAAACAAGAAAGUGAAUUAGGCUUCCUGCUAACGGGUACCUCCAAGAGUCCCAUUCCUGCUGGCAGACAGAAGGCAUCCAGGGCCUGAUUCAGCACAUUUGUGAUCUUAAACACAGGAGUUCAAUGAAGCUGAAUACCAUUGAACACAUAGUUCAGUCACUAAAGAAGAAAACAGAAAGAAUUGGAGAAUUACUCCUUCUAACUCAUGAAGCCAUUACUUGAAUGGAAAUGGGGAGAAUUCCUCUAGAUUUCAGCACUACUCUAACUACUCCUGGUCAGUAACCCAGUAAUCCUGUAGUUCUUGGGUAGGGCACUUGCAGCUCAGUCAUGGCUGACUUAGCCUGCUCUUUAAGCUUUCAUAAAAAUAGUUCUUUUCCUGUUCAGUCUUAUUAAACAUUUCUUUUAAACUAGCAGAAUGACUCAUGAAAUGUUUAACUUAAGGGUGUAACAGUGAAUUGU